UAGGGAAUCUUCCGCAAUGGACGCAAGUCUGACGGAGCAACGCCGCGUGAGUGAAGAAGGUUUUCGGAUCGCAAAACUCUGUUGUUAGAGAAGAACAAGUGCUAGAGUAACUGUUAGCGCCUUGACGGUAUCUAACCAGAAAGCCACGGCUAACUACGUGCCAGCAGCCGCGGUAAUACGUAGGUGGCAAGCGUUGUCCGGAUUUAUUGGGCGUAAAGCGAGCGCAGGCGGUUCCUUAAGUCUGAUGUGAAAGCCCCCGGCUCAACCGGGGAGGGUCAUUGGAAACUGGGGAACUUGAGUGCAGAAGAGGAGAGUGGAAUUCCAUGUGUAGCGGUGAAAUGCGUAGAUAUAUGGAGGAACACCAGUGGCGAAGGCGACUCUCUGGUCUGUAACUGACGCUGAGGCUCGAAAGCGUGGGUAGCAAACAGGAUUAGAUACCCUGGUAGUCCACGCCGUAAACGAUGAGUGCUAAGUGUUGGAGGGUUUCCGCCCUUCAGUGCUGCAGUUAACGCAUUAAGCACUCCGCCUGGGGAGUACGUCCGCAAGGUUG
rnacentral:rRNA from 1 species